rfam:Triticum aestivum genome assembly, contig: Triticum_aestivum_CS42_TGACv1_scaffold_456744_5DS
GCCAGGAAGAGGAAGAAUGAGAGGGCCCAAGAGUAGUGUGAAUGGGAACAUCGAGGAAAGCCUAAGCUUUCUAGAUUUCCUCUCCUUACAAAGGAGAAAUCUAGCUCUGUGUUUUUCCGAUGCCUCCCAUUCCUAUUGUUCUUGGGUUCUCCUUCCCCUUACUUUUGGCU